AAAAAAGGAGGCAGAGUCUCCUUCGUCAGACCAUCAGAGGCGUGAGACAUGGGGUAAGGAAAAUGAGAGUUUUCCUUGUAGAAAAAUUACGAUCCACAAAGAUCUAACGGUCCGAUUUUCAAUCCGUCUUCGGUAACGUGAUCCUUGCACUCGGAUCUACAUUACUACCGUUCACUUUAAGGUGUUUGAGUUUAUUGGAGCGUAUUUGAGGCUAGCUAAACUUUGGGUUGGAGUUUGGUGAAUUUGGGAUAGUGUCCGGAUUGGAGUCUUUAAUGGGUUCUCCAAUGUAGAGUUCGAGUCAUGGUCCAAUGCAGCCAAGAUGAUGUUCUUUUGGCUGCAGGUAUUCCGGUCGUAGUUGAUAGCAUUGUAGAAGGGUAUUUUGGAUGUUAUGACUGAAGCACGCCGCAACGGUCGUAAUUGGUGGACCACGGGUUGUCCACUUGUUUAUAGGUUUGGUUUAUGGCUUGUGACGUUUGUGUCACUUGUUAUUGUACAAAACCAUUUAUGUCACUUAUUUAAUUCGUGGAAAGAUUUAAUCAUAUAGAUACUUAAUGGCUCUUUGUUGUAAUUAUUUGUGAUAGAUGUAUAAGAUGUGAUUUCCGCUA